ACGCUCGACACCUACGGGGGGCAGCAGUCGGGAAUAUUGCGCAAUGGAGGAAACUCUGACGCAGUGACGCCGCGUGCAGGAAGAAGGUUUUCGGAUUGUAAACUGCUUUAGACAGGGAAGAAAAAGGACAGUACCUGUAGAAUAAGCUCCGGCUAACUACGUACCAGCAGCCGCGGUAAUCUGAGCGGGCUGGCAAGGC
rnacentral:rRNA from 1 species